UACGGAGGGUGCAAACGUUGCUCGGAAUCAUUGGGCGUAAAGCGCACGUAGGCGGUCCGGCAAGUCGGGUGUGAAAUCCCUCGGCUUAACCGAGGAAGUGCAUUCGAAACUACCGGACUUGAAUACUGGAGAGGGUCGCGGAAUUCCCAGUGUAGCGGUGAAAUGCGUAGAUAUUGGGAGGAACACCAGUGGCGAGGGCGGCUCACUGGACCGGUACUGACGCUGAGGCGCGAAAGCGUGGGUAGCAAACAGG
rnacentral:rRNA from 1 species